UACGUAGGGUGCAAGCGUUAAUCGGAAUUACUGGGCGUAAAGCGUGCGCAGGCGGUUAUGUAAGACAGAUGUGAAAUCCCCGGGCCUAACCUGGGAACUGCAUUUGUGACUGCAUAGCUAGAGUACGGUAGAGGGGGAUGGAAUUCCGCGUGUAGCAGUGAAAUGCGUAGAUAUGCGGAGGAACACCGAUGGCGAAGGCAAUCCCCUGGACCUGUACUGACGCUCAUGCACGAAAGCGUGGGGAGCAAACAGG
rnacentral:rRNA from 1 species